ensembl:lncRNA
GUAAGCAAGUGGUAUAAAUAUUGGUGGGACGAUCGACAUACUAAAUAGCAGGCAUCUCCAAACGGCGGACUGCGGUCUUGACGGUCCUAUCCGGACCCAUGACCAAUUAUAAAAAAGUUUUUUUAUUUUUUAUUUUUUUUUAAGAUGUAAUCUGACGUAACGAACGAAUCAAAACGAACGAAUCAAAUAAACGAAUCGUUAUAGUGAACUGAACUGAAAGAACUAGUUCCCGGAAAAGAAUCAUUUUGCCCAUCCCUAGUGUACACACAUUAGAGCGGCACGGGCCGAGAGAACAAACCGUGAAAAAGGGGCGAUUUCCCUUUUUUGGAGUGACGCGCAAGGUUGGAGAAGACCGGAGACCGGAGGCAGAUCCCACCGGGGUUAAAGGUAGAAUACCAAACGUUGACAGCGAGAGGGAGAAAUUACAGUGCUGCCAAAUGAGUUGGAAACUCUCUUGUUGAGGUACAUUUGCAACCUGUCACGGAGUCGGGGAGAACAUUAAAAUGCAGAUCAGCCCUGGGGGUCCUUCGCCUCUGCUCUUGAAUGUGAAUCGGUGACAAGGGUGGCGGUGACAUUGCCGGGGAAUGGUGCCUCCGCCUUGCGGUAGAUGCGUGGGGCUGGUAUGGGGAGGCCCACAUGGAGGUCCUCUGUGAUCUUCUAUUAGUCACGUUGCGUUAGGCACACUUCACAUUACAGUCCGGCCAUGCCAUCAGCACUAGUGGGAGGGGAGUGCUCGUUUAGGACAAAACAAUGACCACAGAACCGCAGUCAACCGGGAUUUUUCAAGGUAAUAAAUACGUACCAAAUUUCUGUACUUGAAGGGCUAAGAGUGCAACUGGUGGGUCAGAUAUUAUGCUGCAAUAUACGUUAGAGAGAGGGGGCGUGCCUACAUCCCAACUCGUUCCAGUGGUACGUUGUAGUACACUUCUCCAAAGUGGACUCAGGCAAUGCUCGGCGAAAUUGUUGUAAUGCAAAAAUGCAAAUCUGACAAAGAAAAGACAUCUUACCUGAAUAAAACAUCUUGGUCAAACAGUCAUCUUAAAGCCGUGAAAGAUAAAGCCUUUUCUACAACUUCAUCGAUAUAUUUUUCAAUAAUUAAUGAGCCAGUUUGAUAACUUGUCUGAUAUAACUUGGCUUUUUUCACUGUCUUGGUUGACGUUAGCUUGGCAUUCUUUUGUAUUUACAAAGAAUAUACAGUACAGAAUUCCAGGUACCGAUAGCGGUAUCUGUUGCAAUAUGAUGUGAUGCAAUUUGAACUUUUGACAUCAGGCCACUGUAGGAUAUCAUCCGGUCCAAUCGGAUGGUGAAGAUGAAACCAUAAGCCUGUCACUGCUUAGUGUCACACCCCGGGGUGAUAGCCGGGA